rnacentral:rRNA from 1 species
UACGUAGGGUGCAAGCGUUGUCCGGAAUUAUUGGGCGUAAAGCGUGCGUAGGCGGUUCUAAAAGUUAGAAGUGAAAGCCCAGGGCUUAACCCUGGAAUUGCUUUUAAAACUAUAGGACUAGAAUUCGGGAGAGGAUAGCGGAAUUGUCAGUGUAGCAGUGAAAUGCGUAGAUAUUGACAGGAACACCAGUGGCGUAAGCGGCUAUCUGGACCGACAUUGACGCUGAGGCACGAAAGCGUGGGGAUCAAACAGG